rnacentral:rRNA from 1 species
CGGAACGGGUGAGUAAUGCGUGACCAACCUGCCCCAUGCUCCAGAAUAGCUCUUGGAAACGGGUGGUAAUGCUGGAUGCUCCAACUUGACGCAUGUCUUGUUGGGAAAGUGUUUAGUGGCAUGGGAUGGGGUCGCGUCCCAUCAGCUUGUAGGCGGGGUAAUGGCCCACCUAGGCUUCGACGGGUAGCCGGCCUGAGAGGGCGGACGGCCACAUUGGGACUGAGAUACGGCCCAGACUCCUACGGGAGGCAGCAGC